rnacentral:tRNA from 1 species
GGUGGCUGUAGCUCAGUUGGCAGAGCUCAGGAUUGUGGUUCCUGCAGGUAUGGGUUCGAGUCCCAUCAGUCACC